AUGGGUUUAUCAGGGGUUUCCGCUUUUGCUUCCUUUCUCAUUUUCUCUUGCUGCUGUGUUUUAAGAAGUGCCUUUCUCCUCCCACCAGGAUUCUGUGGACUCCCCCCCAGCCAUGUGGAACUGGACAUGGAUGAAUCUGGAGAACAUCAUUCUCAGCCAACUGACACAAGAACAGAAAAUGAAAUACCACAUAUUCUCACUCAUAGGCAGGUGAUGAAAAAUGAGGACACAUGGACACAGGGAGGGGAGUACUAAACACUGGGGUCUAUUGGGGGGAAAAAUGGGAGGGCCAGCGGGGGGGUUGGAGCUGGGGAGGGAUAGCCUGGGGAGAAAUGCCAAAUGUAGGUGAAGGGGAGAAAGGAAGCAAAACACACUGCCAUAUGUGUACCUAUGCAACUGUCUUGCAUGUUCUGCACAUGUACCCCAAAACCUAAAAUGCAAUAAAAAAUUUUAAAAAAAGGAACAUUUUUAACAUUAGGAUUUCCAGAUUAUAGUUUGUGAGUUUGUGGGUGUUUUUUGUUUUGAGGGUUUUUUUUUCUCACCAAUUAUUGAUGACUUGCAACAUGUAGCCAUUUCUAAUCACUCUUUGUAAUUUGUCAGAAAGAACCCUUAUAGAAUUACAGAGUAGGUGCAAUGAGAGAUUUAGAGGUUGUUUUAUCUUGUCUUGUGCACUUUAACACAUCUGUUCUUCAGGUACUGCUAACACUUCAGACUUGCAAUCAUAUUUAUAGCUAUGCUACUUCCCUUAAGAUUGGCUUUGAGGUCUUGGAGAAGAAUGGUGCAUGAAUGAAGUGACAGGGAGAACAGGUAGGAGAAAACCAGCUGUGCACAUUAAUUUUUUAGGGUCGCUCUGAAAGAGACCAAUGAAUAGACAGGAGCUUUUAUUAUUUAACAUGUAAGUAAUAUGUAGAAAGCAUGGUUGGUAGGUGUGUAAGAUUCUUCACGUGAUUUGUUCAUGGGAAUAAAUCCAUCAGUAUGCAAAAUAUUGUGGAGACAGACUGCUUUCAUAGAGUGACAAAAAAUUAUCCGUGAGACUGAUAAUAUUGUCAUAAGAAACACACUGACUUUUAUACGGUUUUAUAUGCAUAUGCAUAUUUGAAACAUUUUUAUGAGUGAUUUUUAUUUGUAAUAUGUAUCUAAUUUUCAACAUUAGGACUAUUUUAAAUUUCAAAAUUUAAAAAUUUUUCAUAAUAUGGUUAUUGUGCAAAAAAAUCACUAAAUAUCAAAUGUUAACUAAGUAAUGGAAAUAAGAAUGUGGACCACUAAAAAUUAAGAAAUUGCAAACACUUUAUAAAUGUUGACAUAACAGAUUUACCACUAUGAGAAACAAGGUAACAGUAAUAAAAAGGCAGGCUCCUGAAAUUAUCCUAAGUAUGACUCCUGAGCCUUUUUCUUAAGAGCUUGUGAUGCCUGGGCUGAGUGUGGUGGCUCACAUGUGUAAUCCCAGAACUUUGGGAGGCUGAGGUGAGUGGAUCAUCUGCAGUUCGGAGUUCAAAACCAACCUGACCAAUGUGGUGAAUCCUGACUCUGCUAAAAAAUACCAAAAAAAUGGCCAUGCACCAUGGCUCAUGCCUGUAAUCCCAGCACUUUGGGAGGUCGAUGGGGCCGAUCACCUGAGGUUGAGAGUUUGAGACCAGCCUGAUCAACAUAGAGAAAUCCUGUCUCUACUAAAAGUACAAAACUAGCUGGACAUGUUGAUGCAUGCCUGUAAAUCCCUCCUACUCAGGAGGUUGGGGCAGGAGAAUCGCUUGACCAGAAGAUGGAGGUUGCAGUGAGCUGAGAUCACACCAUUGCACUGCAGCCUGGGUGACAGAGCAAGACUCUGUCUCAGAAAAAAGAAAUACAAAAAAUUAGCUGGGUGUGGUAGCACACACCUGUAGUCCCAGGCUACCUGGGAGGCUGAGGUAGGAGAAUAGGUUGAACCUGGGAGACAGAGGUUGCAGUGAGCUGAGGUCAUGCCACUGUACUCCAGUUACCAAGUGAGACUGUGUCAAAUAGGAAAGGGAAGGGAAAGGGAGGGGAAGAGGAGGAAAGGGGGAGAGAGGGGGAGGGGGGAAAAGGGGCAGGAGGAGGGGGGAAGGGAAUGGAAAAGGAAAGGAAAGGAAGAAGGAAGGCGGGAAGGAAGGAGGAAAGGAGGGAAGGAAGGAGGGAGGGAGGGAGAGCGGGAGGGAAAUAAACUUGUGAGUAGGGGCAAAUAGCAGCUUACCUAUCUUAACCUGAGUUUUCUCUGCAGCAAAGUGAGAAUAAUAACAUCCAUAUUGCAGGAUUUUAUGUGCAUUAAAUGGGAUCAAUUAUACUAAUAUUUAGAGAAUUGUCUUGUACAUGUACACACAUGUUAGAUGUUAUUAUCAUUAUCAAUAUUGACAGAUAUAAGGUAUGAGGUGGCCUAUCUUAGAAACAUUUGUAUAUGUAUCAGGUUGGUACAAAAGUAAUCAUGGUUUUUCAUUGCUUUUGAUGGCCAAAACCACAAUUACUAUUGCACCAACCUAAUAACAUGUUGCCAACUUAGAUAUGCCCAGAUCAAUAUAAUUAACAUAUAUACAGUGCUUUCCUGAGGCUUAUGGUCAAUACAGUUCUAGCUGAAGCUUCUUUCCUGAGCUCCAUAUGCAUAUAACCAUCUAUCUGAUAGGCUCUUUCUUGCAUGUCUCAGGCAUUUCUUUAUAGCAGUGCAAGAACUAUUAGGCUAUUGCUAUAAAGAAAUAUCUGGCCAGGCACGGUGGCUCAUGCCUCUAAUUCAGCACUUUGGGAGGCCGGAGCAGGUGGAUCAUGAGGUCAAGAGAUUGAGACCAACCUGGCCAACAUGGUGAAACCAUGUCUCUACUGAAAAAAAAAAAAAAAAAAAAAAAAAAUAUAUAUAUAUAUAUAUAUAUAUAUAUAUAUAUAUAUAUAUAUAUACAAAAAAUUAGCUGGGCAUGGUGAUGUGUGCCUGUAGUCCCAGCUACUGGGAAGGAUGAGGUAGGAGAACCGCUUGAACCUGGGAGGUGGAGGAUGCAGUGAGAGUGGAGAUCAAGCCACUGUACUCCAGCCUGGUGACAGAGAGAGACUCUGUCUGAAAAGAAAGAAAGAGAGAGAGAGAGAGAGAGAGAGAGAGGAAGGAAGGAAGGAAGGAAGGAAGGAAGGAAGGAAGGAAGGAAGGAAGGAAGGAAGGAAGACCUGAGACUGGGUAAUUUAUAAAUAAAAGAGGGUUUAAUUGGUUUACAGUUCUGCAGACUACACAGAAAGUAUGGUGCCCGCAUCUGCUUCUGGGGAGGCCUCAGGGAGCUUUUACUCAUGCUGGAAAGCAAAGUGGGAGCUUACACGACACAUGAUCAAAUCAGGACCAAAGAGAGAGAUUUGGGGAGGUGCCACACACUUUGACAACCAGAUCUCAUGAGAACUCACUCACGACUGUGAGGACAGCUUGAAGCCGUAAGGGAUCUGCUCCUAUGACCCAGGCAUCCCCACCAGGUCCUAUCUCCAACACUGGGGAUUACAUCCCAACAAGAGAUUUGGAGGAGACAUCCAGAAUAAAUCAGCCUCUGUCUCUACUUAUCAUUUUCAUAUAAAAUCUUUACCCUUCAAGUACCAUCAUAAAUAUAUGCAUCGUCUAAGCCAAGACAUUUAGUAAUUAUCCCACAUUCUUGAGUUUCUUCCUUUCACCCAUUAACCAAUCAAAUUCUGUUCAUUCUGUUUCAAAAUUGUUCUCUUUUGAUUUUUGUUCAUCAUCUCUACCAUUAAUAACUCUACCCUAUUUCAAUCAUUUCUUUCUUUUCCUAUUUCUUUCUCUUUCACCAUUCCUCCUUUCCCUUCCUUUUUUUUAUUUUUCUUAUCCCUAAUAGCUGAGAAAGACCUAGCCUGAUUCACUUUUGGGGGAAGAUCUGCGUUGUAUUAAUUAGUUCCACUGAGAAGCCCAAUCCCUGAAAAUAUUUUAUGUCUAUGUAUUUUUAAAAUCCCCACAUGAAAGUUUGUUUGUGCAUCACCACAGUCAAAAUGCAGAAUUUCUAACUGCAAAGAUCUCUCCAAUUGUGCUAACAUAGCCAUACCUGAAGUAGGUGUGGCUAUGGCCCUUUCCCCACCUUCAACCCUGACUUCCCUAAACCCUUAACAAGCAUUAAUCUGUUUUUCAUUUUAGCUGUCUGGUCAUUUCAAUUUAUUAUAUAAAAGUGUGCAGCCUUUAGGAACUUCCCUUUUGCACUCUGCAUAAGUGUUCCAAUUCUGGCACUGCUAAUUUCUUAUAACUUUGAAUCAAUUAAAUUAAACAUUCUGUAUCUCUGUGUCCUCAUUUGAAAAUUGAAAUCAUAUUGGCAUAAAAACUCAAUAAACUAUAAAUAAAAAUAAAGGAGAUAAUAAAAGUAAAAGUUCUAGCAUUCUGAAAAGCACUUAGUCAUUCCUCAAUAAAAGUGAAGAUAUAAAUUAUCUAGAGAAUCUUUGCCAAUUAAAACAUCUUUAACACUGGUUUAGUCUUAAGUGUCCAUAUUAUAUUCUAAUUCUAUUCAAAUUGAUAAUCCAAGAAAAGUUUAAGUGAAAAAUGUUUUGAGCAUCAGGAUACUUGAUUAAUUGAAAGGUUUUAUGCACCAGUCUCCUGAAGUGAUAGUACACCAUAUGUCAAAGGAUUUAUUGUUUCAUGCCCAAGUUAGUGCUGUAAUUAUAUUUUUACAAAAGUUAGUUCUAUCACUUUGGAGUGUGAAUAAAGAUGGAGAUGAAGACAACGGUGAGAAAAUGCUUGCAGUUUCUUGCUAGUGAUAGAUCCACACAGUUUUUAUAUUGAAGUAAAAUAUUUUUAAAUCCUUAUCAAAUGAAGGUAAGCAUGAUUUACAGCCUGCUUCAAGAGAGCUGUCAUCUUUUGACAAGUGGAGAAUGAAAUAAACAGUAUAUAAGGCCUCAAAAAUUUAAUAAUGCCUUAAUUAUCUGCAGGAAAUGAUUUUAAGGGCCAUGAAUUAAAAAAUAAGUUAGAGUAAGACUAAAGUUACCUCGAAUAUUUAUUGAGUUUCAGUUCAUCCUCUGUAUAUUUUGA
rnacentral:lncRNA from 1 species